rnacentral:siRNA from 1 species
CUUUUUUCAGUGAAAGAUGGUU